rnacentral:lncRNA from 1 species
UAGCCAUUAGGAACCCUGAGGUAUAUGUUGGCUGUAGUAAAUUCAUUGUAGGAACUAGGUCGCACCAAGAUGGGAUUUAUCAACCUCGGUAGAUGAGAGUAGUCCUAUGAUAAUUGAAAGAUCGAGUCCUUAAGCCUAUGGCCAUGGCAGAGUAAAAUAAUGAAAAAGAGUUUUCCAUUAAGAUUUCACAUCGGACUCGGAUCGAUCGAUUAACUCAUAUGACUGAUGUUGGGUUUGAUGAGUUCACCUUAACCCUAAUUCAGUCAGGACUCAUGAUAGAGGAACUCAAUCACACAGAUAGCUGCACCGAGAGG